AAGCGAGCCAUAGCAGAACCGUUAUCAACAGGAUCCGGUGAUGUGCAUCUGCAUGAGUGAUGGUAUGUACUUAUGAGUCUGAAAAAAAAUGGAAACUAAACAAAACAUUGCCAUUUUUUUUUGAAAAACUGCAAAAAUAGAAAGGCAGGGAACGAAAUAUUUGAAUGCAAAAAGACGUCCUUUAUUUAUGAUAAAAAAU
rnacentral:lncRNA from 1 species